ACUAAACCAAAUUGUCUGAAAUUUUGUACAGUAAUUAAAAACCCGACAAAGUUUCCAUCUAUAAACUCAAAAUAUGAUUACAUCUUUCAAAUUUUGUGCGCGAGCCAUUUUUAGUUUGUUGGAAAAGACACCCCUCCCCUGGUCCACAAAAUUUGAGUUUGAGAAAUUUUUUUCAUUAUUCUACAUUAUAGUACCCAAAGAAGCUAUACAUAUAAAAAACCGGAUACAAAUAGGUGUUUUGCGAAAUUGAGAGCAAUUUCAAAUCUGUUCAGUUUUUUUUAUACACCCUG